CGACGCAACCACUAUAGCGGUUGCGUUCACUCCUUCCGCCGAAAUUGCGGUUGGAGCUGUUGCUACUGGCGUCUUCUGGCAACCAUGAGCUACUGCAUGAUUCAGACAUAUUUUUCAGGGUGCCCAUGCUGCAGGUGUGCCUCAAGGCCUGGCCCGCUGAAUACGAUCGAGGAUAGAAUCGGCUGGCGGCGAGCAUGGCCCUUGGGUCCCUUUCUGGUUCUUGUCGGCUCCUGGAGACACGCAAUAGUUGUCCAGCUUGGGGAAGAAGUGAUGGGGGCUUCAGGUGCAUGUUUUCGGGUACCCAGGUGGUGCCCAGUCCACCUCAUACCAGUGUAACCCAAGUGUGGAUGGCGGCAUUAGAGAGAACCCAAUACAUUGACCUCCUAUUGUGAUGAGUGGCCAUCUUGCAUGCUCAUUUGGUAUUUUUUUCAUGUCUC